rnacentral:rRNA from 1 species
AGUGAACGCUGGCGGUAGGCCUAACACAUGCAAGUCGAACGGCAGCACAGUAAGAGCUUGCUCUUACGGGUGGCGAGUGGCGGACGGGUGAGGGAUACAUCGGAAUCUACUUUUUCGUGGGGGAUAACGUAGGGAAACUUACGCUAAUACCGCAUACGACCUACGGGUGAAAGCAGGGGAUCUUCGGACCUUGCGCGAUUGAAUGAGCCGAUGUCGGAUUAGCUAGUUGGCGGGGUAAAGGCCCACCAAGGCGACGAUCCGUAGCUGGUCUGAGAGGAUGAUCAGCCACACUGGAACUGAGACACGGUCCAGACUCCUACGGGAGGCAGCAGUGGGGAAUAUUGGACAAUGGGCGCAAGCCUGAUCCAGCCAUACCGCGUGGGUGAAGAAGGCCUUCGGGUUGUAAAGCCCUUUUGUUGGGAAAGAAAAGCAGCAGGUUAAUACCCCGCUGUCCUGACGGUACCCAAAGAAUAAGCACCGGCUAACUUCGUG